rnacentral:misc_RNA from 1 species
UCAUUACACAAUAUGAAAGCGGGCUGGCAUCCUUCGGGGUUACAGCCUUGCUGAAUUAUUCACCCGUGUCUUUUGCGUACUUCUUGUUUCCUUGGUGGGUUCGCCCACCAUAGGACAAACCAUAAACCUUUUGUAAUUGCAAUCAGCGUCAGUAAAAAAAAUUAAUAAUUACAACUUUUAACAACGGAUCUCUUGGUUCUGGCAUCGAUGAAGAACGCAGCGAAAUGCGAUAAGUAGUGUGAAUUGCAGAAUUCAGUGAAUCAUCGAAUCUUUGAACGCACAUUGCGCCCUUUGGUAUUCCAAAGGGCAUGCCUGUUCGAGCGUCAUUUGUACCCUCAAGCUUUGCUUGGUGUUGGGCGUCUUGUCUCCAGUUCGCUGGAGACUCGCCUUAAAGUAAUUGGCAGCCGGCCUACUGGUUUCGGA